CUUAGCUUCUCGUCUCGCAUCCACUGCAUUCUCACAUCAUGCUGUUCUUCCUUCAGUCUUUUCCUUUGUUGAGACGGCAUCACUGUGUUUCUGACAAGGAUGAGCACAUGGUCGUCCCACACACUGGCUGAUUGUCUUUCUUGGGGCUGUCCGUUCUUUACUAUAAGAGCUCUACAAGCUCUCACAGCACUUUAUCUAAAGCUGCUGAUUCAACGUCUUCCUUCAGGUGAGUGUAACAGACAAAAAAG